AUAAAAAUUAAGAAAAAAAGAGUAAUUUUAUGAAAGAUUUUAGAGAGUAGGCGUUUGGUGAAAGCCUAUAUCGGAAGUAAGAUGAAAAUCAUUUUUCUAUAUUGCAAGUCUGAAAUUAUAGUAAGAUUUGUCGCUUUGGUAGGCGUUACAAAAACCCGGCAUUGAUAGAUGCUUGAGAGCUUAUUUUUAUAUAAGAAUAAAAGGUGGUAACGCGGAAUUUUCGUCCUUUGU
rfam:Peptoniphilus lacrimalis DNF00528 contig006, whole genome shotgun sequence.